ACUAAAUUUUGGGGUUUGGAAACCAUCGAUAUGCGAUGAACGUAAACAUGGAAUUUUUAGGAAUUUUACAGAGCCAAAUGUAGCUCAGUUCUGGAAUAUUCCGGUAAAGCUCAACCGCAUCUUAAUCUUUAUGCAGACAGCAAGUGAGGACUCAUGAAUGAAACGGAUUUAGAGGGAGAGGAAGCCCUCUCCAGUCGACUGAAGGACAGUUAUCCGUACAGAGGAGAUGGAACAGGGAGAUCAGAGCCAGUUACUAUCCGAGGCAUCAAGAUACGCUCGGACAGUGAUGUAUCAGGUUUGUUUUCUGUUUUACAGUUUGAAAAUCCAAACAUGUAGUGUAUACCUGUAACAAAACCCUUUUAAGGCUAAUAUUUUUUUUUGAAAUGUCACUGAACAUCUUUCUUGCGUUUCCUUUUAUGCGUUUCAGGUCACAUGACCAAGGUCAAAGGCCAAAAAUAGGGUCAAUGAACCUAAAUUAUGCUCGGGGAAUAAAAAAAUAAAACCAAGGUUAAGUUUUUUAAAUGUCAACUCUGAACGUAUAUGGAUCUAGUUUAUGAAACUUAGACAUUUAGUAAUCAAGCAGUGAACAUCCUGCAUGAGUUUCAGGUCACACAGUGGCAUAACAGGCGGGGGGGGGGGGGGGGGGCAGGGAGGGGUAAGCUGCCCCUCUGGUGGAGUUCACUGGGAAAAUUAAAAAAAAACGGGAAAAAAGAAAAAAAAAGGGGGAUAAAGAAUUAAAGAAAUGGAAAGGGAAAGGAUAGGAAAAAAAGAGGAAAGGGGGAAAGGAAAGGGAAAAGAAAACUAAGAAAAAACAUAAAAAGGGAAAACGGAAAGAAAACAGGAAAAGGAAGGAAAGAGGAACAUGUGAAAAAAAAACAAUUUUCCCCGAUAUGCAAAUACAUUAGCAUGAUUAGUAAGACGGAAAUAAAUUAAAGAUGACAAAAAGGCAAACAAAAGCGGAAAAUGAAGGAAGAAUGGAAUGAGCCAAAAUAUAAAUUUUAUUUAUAAUGUUUAUGAUAUUUUGCUUAUAAGUUAUAUAUACUCUGUUUUGUUUUACUUUUACUUAUAGAUAAAUAUCAUUGUUCAUGCCUCAAUUUAUUUUGUCUGUAUAAGUUCAUUGUAAUUAUUUCAACCACAUUACUUUGUUCUGUUGAAAAUGAAAUAAAUUGAAAAAUUGAAUUGAAUUGAAUAAAUUGGAAAAUAAAGAAAAGGGACAAGAUAACACUACCGGGCUGCCGAGGAUUGAAGAUAACAAGCGGGAAGAAAGAUGAUGGUAUAUACAUGUAGCAUAAUGUCGUAUAAACUUAAUGCGAAAUCUCCAAAGCUACCGGGGGCUCAGUCCAAGACCCCGUGCAGUGGGGGCUCUUCAUAAAAGAAAAUGAAGGAGGCAGCGAAAUGAGAUGAAUGAAAAAAUACAUAAUUAUAAUUUCAUUUCAAAAGACCCUUUUUCUUUCAGGCUCGCUUCGCUCGGUGGCGACUUAAAA